AUUGAACGCUGGCGGCAGGCCUAACACAUGCAAGUCGAGCGCGCGGCGGACGGGUGAGUAAUGUAUGGGGACUGCCCGAACGAGGGGGAUAACUACUGGAAACGGUAGAUAAUACCGCAUACUAUCGGAUAAACAAUAUGGGAUGAGCUAGUAGGUGAGGUAAUGGCUCACCUAGGCGACGAUCCCUAGCUGGUCUGAGAGGAUGAUCAGCCAGACUGUGACUGAGACACGGCCAAGACUCCUACGGAGGCAGCAGUGGGGAAUAUUGCACAACGGGCGCAAGCCUGAGGCAGCCAGGCCGCGUGUAGUAAGAAGGCACUAGGGUUGUAAAGUACUUUCGGACGGGAGGCGUUACCGGCAGAAGAAGCGCCGGCUAACUCCGUGCCAGCAGCCGCGGUAAUUC
rnacentral:rRNA from 1 species